rnacentral:rRNA from 1 species
UACGUAGGGACCAAGCGUUGUCCGGAAUCAUUGGGCGUAAAGAGCGUGUAGGCGGCUUGUUAAGUCUUGCGUGAAAUCUCGGGGCUCAACCCCGAGCGGUCGUGAGAAACUGGCAGGCUAGAGUGCGGGAGAGGAGAGUGGAAUUCCCGGUGUAGCGGUGAAAUGCGUAGAGAUCGGGAGGAACACCAGUGGCGAAGGCGGCUACCUGGACCAGCACUGACACUGAGGCACGAAAGCGUGGGGAGCAAACAGG